rnacentral:rRNA from 1 species
ACGGAAGGCAGCAGUGGGGAAUAUUGGACAAUGGGGGAAACCCUGAUCCAGCGACGCCGCGUGAGUGAAGAAGUAUUUCGGUAUGUAAAGCUCUAUCAGCAAGGAAGAAGAUGACGGUACUUGACUAAGAAGCUCCGGCUAAAUACGUGCCAGCAGCCGCGGUAAUACGUAGGGAGCAAGCGUUAUCCGGAUUUACUGGGUGUAAAGGGCGUGUAGGCGGGACAUCAAGUCAGAUGUGAAAGCACGAGGCUCAACUUCGUGUCUGCAUUUGAAACUGACGUUCUUGAGUGUUGGAGAGGCUAACGGAACUCCUAGUGUAGCGGUGAAAUGCGUAGAUAUUAGGAAGAACACCAGUGGCGAAGGCGGUUAGCUGGACAAUAACUGACGCUGAGGCGCGAAAGCGUGGGUAGCAAACAGGAUUAGAUACCCUGGUA